GGCCCGCACAAGCGGUGGAGCAUGUGGUUUAAUUCGACGCAACGCGCAGAACCUUACCAGCCCUUGACAUGUCCAGGACCGGCACCAGAGAUGGAGCCUUCUCUUCGGAGCCUGGAGCACAGGUGCUGCAUGGCUGUCGUCAGCUCGUGUCGUGAGAUGUUGGGUUAAGUCCCGCAACGAGCGCAACCCCCGUCUUUAGUUGCUACCAUUUAGUUGAGCACUCUAAAGAGACUGCCGGUGAUAAGCCGNGAGGAAGGUGGGGAUGACGUCAAGUCCUNAUGGCCCUUACGGGCUGGGCUACACACGUGCUACAAUGGCGGUGACAAUGGGAUGCUAAGGGGCGACCCCUCGCAAAUNUCAAAAAGCCGUCUCAGUUCGGAUUGGGCUCUGCAACUCNAGCCCAUGAAAGUUGGAAUCUCUNGUAAUCUNGGAAUCAACAUNGCNNACGGUGAA
rnacentral:rRNA from 1 species